rnacentral:rRNA from 1 species
GCAAUGGACGAAAGUCUGACCGAGCAACGCCGCGUGAGUGAAGAAGGUUUUCGGAUCGUAAAGCUCUGUUGUAAGUCAAGAACGUGUGUGAGAGUGGAAAGUUCACACAGUGACGGUAGCUUACCAGAAAGGGACGGCUAACUACGUGCCAGCAGCCGCGGUAAUACGUAGGUCCCGAGCGUUGUCCGGAUUUAUUGGGCGUAAAGGGAGCGCAGGCGGUCAGGAAAGUCUGGAGUAAAAGGCUAUGGCUCAACCAUAGUGUGCUCUGGAAACUGUCUGACUUGAGUGCAGAAGGGGAGAGUGGAAUUCCAUGUGUAGCGGUGAAAUGCGUAGAUAUAUGGAGGAACACCAGUGGCGAAAGCGGCUCUCUGGUCUGUCACUGACGCUGAGGCUCGAAAGCGUGGGUAGCGAACAGGAUUAGAUACCCUGGUAGUCCACGCCGUAAACGAUGAGUGCUAGGUGUUAGGCCCUUUCCGGGGCUUAGUGCCGGAGCUAACGCAAUAAGCACUCCGCCUGGGGAGUACGACCGCAAGGUUGAAACUCAAAGGAAUUGACGGGGGCCCGCACAAGCGGUGGAGCAUGUGGUUUAAUUCGAAGC